rnacentral:lncRNA from 1 species
UUAUGUAUUGUGUUUUGAUAAAAUAAGAUAAAUGUAAAAAAAAAUGUCUGCCAUGUUGGAUAGCAGGUGAGUUCAUUAGAUACAUUUCUUUAAACCAGAUACCCCAAUGAUGAUUGUGGCCAAGUUUGGUUAAAUUUGGCCUAAACAGAGAAUUAUUUAGAUAAAGAGUUUAUUAGGAAUUCUAGAAAAUGGAUAGGCUAGUAGUUUCAAUGGAGAAGACUUUUGUAAAAGUUAACAGACAAAGAUGACAAAGAACAAUAUGAUGGACGCCAAAUGAUGAGAAAAUAUUUGGCCAAGGACAGUAUUGAAAAUACCAGGUCCCAGUAGAGUUUAAUUAUUUUAUUCACAGUGACACUUGAAAUAACAAAUCAUAAGUUGAUAAAAAAAUCUAAUAGUUUUAAAGGUGAAAC